AGAAAAGAGGAUGGACCAGAGAGCAUUGACCUGCUGAGUGGACUAAAGAUGGGGGAGCAAGGUAAUUGACUCAAAUUCCAUUGGGCCCGUGGGACGACAUCACUGAGCAAGCCAGGAACAAAGGCAACAUAGUGGAGGUCAGUGGAUGGGACAGCAUCCUCAACUGUUAACCACAACUAGAAACAGACAGUCGAACACAAAACGACAACCAAACUUAGUCUCCAUGACAACAGGGUGUGGUCUGUGGGGACAGUAUACGGCGGGAGGGAAAAGAUUUGGCUAGAGAUGUUCCCUCCUGCUCCUAUAAUUGUGAUUCAAUGAGACUGAUGCCGCCUCAGGUUAACCCCCUAACAGGUGCUGCCUUCAGCCUGCCUUCUAUAGGAUCUAUCAACUGGAACAUGGACCCUGUGACAACACACUCUCCUGGCCUUCGUCCUCCUCACACUCUCCUAAUGUUAAACCUGUCCUCAGACAAUGCCUGAAGACUAAAUGGCUACACAAGCCCAUGACAAAUGACAGUAGUAGAGAUGUAAAGUUGGCAGCGCCAAAGAGAAGCGCUUCCUGUGUUCGUUCUGUGGGAAAGCCUUCAGUUUCCCCAAACAGGCUGAGAUCCACCAGAGGGUCCACACAGGGGAGAAACCAUACAGCUGCCCCCAGUGUGAGAAGAGGUUCUCCCACCAGCACCAGCUGAAGAUGCACCUGAAGGUCCAUAAGGGAGAAAGGCUGUUUGCCUGUAUGCACAGCAUGUAAUAUAGUACUAAUUCGUUUGUAGUUAAUUAUGUUGGUUUUGGAUGUAUCGGGAACUAGAUGAGGUGAACUGAGGAAAUAAUGAGUAUGAUGAGACAGAGUAGAUAUGGUGAUGGUUGGUGUGAUUGUGUCUGUAAAAAUGCUUCACUGAUGAAGUGACAAACUUUGUCCCUUUAGAGACUGGUGUUUAUAGUGAGAUAAUGAUAGUGCCUUAAUUAAUGUUUACUUGACAUGAAGUAGUGAAGCUGUGUGUUAUGUAAUGUUGAACCUUUUUAAAGUAUUCUCAAAUGUAUUUUAUCAAAGCGAGAGUACCACAUUUACACAAAAGGAAAAGUGUUACCAUAGUGAGAAGUUAUUCUUCUUGUCACUUAUCGUUUUGUGCAAUAAAUGUGAUUUGUAAUGCCGUUUUGUUGAAAUUAAAUACUAAAUGGACUGUU